rnacentral:rRNA from 1 species
GACGAACGCUGGCGGCGUGCUUAACACAUGCAAGUCGAACGAUGAAGCCGGAGCUUGCUCUGGUGAAUUAGUGGCGAACGGGUGAGUAACACGUGAGUAACCUGCCCUUGACUCUGGGAUAACUGCUAGAAAUGGUAGCUAAUACCGGAUACGACCCUCGGAGGCAUCUUCAGGGGGUGGUAAGAAUUUCGGUCAAGGAUGGACUCGCGGCCUAUCAGCUAGUUGGUGAGGUAACGGCGCACCAAGGCGACGACGGGUAGCCGGCCUGAGAGGGUGACCGGGCACACUGGGACUGAGACACGGCCCAGACUCCUACGGGAGGCAGCAGUGGGGAAUAUUGCACAAUGGGCGCAAGCCUGAUUCAGCAACGCCGCGUGAGGGAUGACGGCCUUCGGGUUGUAAACCUCUUUUAGUAGGGAAGAAGCGAAAGUGACGGUACCUGCAGAAAAAGCACCGGCUAACUACGUGCCAGCAGCCGCCGUAA